rnacentral:rRNA from 1 species
GACGAACGCUGGCGGCGUGCUUAACACAUGCGAGUCGAACGGUAAGGCCCUUCGGGGUACACGAGUGGCGAACGGGUGAGUAACACGUGGGUGAUCUGCCCUGCACUUCGGGAUAAGCCUGGGAAACUGGGUCUAAUACCGGAUAGGACCACUGCCUGCAUGGGUGGUGGUGGAAAGCUUUUGCGGUGUGGGAUGGGCCCGCGGCCUAUCAGCUUGUUGGUGGGGUGAUGGCCUACCAAGGCGACGACGGGUAGCCGGCCUGAGAGGGUGACCGGCAACACUGGGACUGAGAUACGGCCCAGACUCCUGCGGGAGGCAGCAGGGGGGGAUAUUGCACGAGGGGCGCAAGCCUGAUGCGGCGACGCCGCGUGAGGGAUGACGGCCUUCGGGUUGUAAACCUCUUUCAGCACCGACGAAGCGCAAGUGACGGUAGGUGCAGAAGGAGGACCGGCCAACUACGUGCCAGCCGCCGCCGUAA